GACGAACGCUGGCGGCGUGCUUAACACAUGCAAGUCGAACGAUGAAGAAAGGAAUUGAAGCUUCGGCAGAAAUUCAUUUCGGAUUAGUGGCAGACGGGUGAGUAACGCGUGAGCAACCUACCUCUUACAAAGGGAUAGCCUCGGGAAACCGGGAUUAAUACCAUAUAACAUUGCGACGAAGCAUUUCGAUGCAAUCAAAGCUACGGCGGUAAGAGAUGGGCUCGCGUCCCAUUAACCAGAUGGUGAGGUAACGGCUCACCAUAGUAACGAUGGGUAACCGGCCUGAGAGGGUGAACGGUCACACUGGAACUGAGACACGGUCCAGACUCCUACGGGAGGCAGCAGUGGGGAAUAUUGCACAAUGGAGGGAACUCUGAUGCAGCGACGCCGCGUGAGUGAUGAAGGAAUUCGUUUCGUAAAACUCUGUUCUAUGGGAAGAAAAGGACUGUACCAUAGGAGAAAGCGCCGGCUAAAUACGUG
rnacentral:rRNA from 1 species